GACAUACUCCCUCCGUCCGAAAAUAUUUGUUUAAAAAUGGUUGUAUCUAGAUUUAUUUUAAUUAUAGAUACUUCUAUUUUAUUCAUUUCUCGGACAAGUAUUUUCGGAUGGAGGGAGUAUUUU
rfam:Triticum aestivum genome assembly, contig: Triticum_aestivum_CS42_TGACv1_scaffold_570433_7AS